rnacentral:rRNA from 1 species
AUUGAACGCUGGCGGCAUGCCUAACACAUGCAAGUCGAACGGCAGCACAGUAAAGACUUCGGUCUUCAUGGGUGGCGAGUGGCGGCCGGGUGAGUAACGCGUAGGAAUCUGUCCUGGAGGGCGGGAUAACCCGAGGAAACUCGGGCUAAUACCGCCUGAUAUCGAGAGAUCAAAAGCAGGGGACCCUUCGGGGACUUGCGCUCUAGGAUGAGCCUACGUCGGAUUAGCUAGUUGGUGGGGUAAAGGCCUACCAAGGCGACGACCCGUAGCUGGUCUGAGAGGAUGACCAGCCACACUGGGACUGAGACACGGCCCAGACUCCUACGGGAGGCAGCAGUGGGGAAUCUUGGACAAUGGGGGAAACCCUGAUCCAGCGAUGCCGCGUGUGUGAAGAAGGCCUUCGGGUUGUAAAGCACUUUAGUUGGGGAAGAAAAGUAAUAAGUAAAUAAUUUAUUGCUCUGGCGGUACCCAAAGAAUAAGCACCGGCUAACUCUGUGCCAGCAGCCGCCGUAA